AAGGUGUAUUUUAUUUAAAGAUUUACAAAGAAAUUAACAAUCAAAAGUAAUUAAAAACAUUACUAGUGGUUUUUAUAAUUCAUAAGUAAUAUACAUACUUGUAUGUGCGUGAAAAUGUAUCCAUAAUUGGUUUGGUACAAUGCACAACAGAUGAAAAUACACUAGCAUAUAUUUAGAAAUUUGCAAAAAAUAGCAUUUUUUAAAGUUUGUGAACCGAUUUUUAUAAAAUAUGUUUUAAAAUAAAGUUCAAUAAUUUAAGCAUACAUGCGUGUUUAAAAUUUUCAAUUUGGUUCUCUCGUUUAGGUACAGUGAGCCAAAAUUAAUCGGCGCGAUAUUAAACUCAACCCCAUUGUUAUGUCGCUGUUUGUUGUAUUAAUUGUGAAAUUUUAUAUUUUUCAAAAUGCGUUCCGCAGUGUUCGGCUGCAAUAAUAAUAAUGGUAAAAAUUGUGCUACGAAAUGGAGAUGUUAAAAAUGCAUGCAUUUGUGAAGGGCACUUCGCGCCAGAAGCCUUCGAAAGAAACUUGCAGUUUGAAAUGGGUUUAAGUUCGCGGAAUCCAACUAAGUUGCUACCUAGCGCUUUUCCCACGUUAACCACUGCUCCGGCAGAGGCUAAUGAACGGCAGAAAAUGAUGGAGUCUCGUUCCUAAAAAUAGAUGUUAACAACAAUGUUGAAGAAUACCGCCCCUGUUGAAGUAAUUCAAGAAGACGAGGUUGGAAAGGCACCUCAAACUGCAGAGAGGAGAUCAUCGAUAAGAAAGACUAGAAAAUACUGCAUUUGGAAACAGAAAUACAAAGGCUGAAUAGUGUUGUUAGAACUUUGAAAAAGUGCAAAAACGAGCAGUUAGCAGAAAUUAAACGUCUUAGGAUUUCCAUUAAAACCGCGGAAUUCCACAGAAAUAAUUUGGAGCCAAAACUUAGCUGCAUUUUCACCAACGGCCAGGUAAUAUUUUUCAAUGUGUGUCAGUUGAUCUAAAUUCCACUGACCCAAUUGAAAAAAUGAUGACUUGGAGAUUCUCAACAACGACGGACUUAAGAAUUUGGCAGGGUACAUCUGCCACAAACUUUGUGCCAAUUCAGAAAGGUUGU